CUAGGUUGCUGAGCCAAAAUGGCGAAGGUAGAGAGACGAUCACAUAAGCAUUUCGUAUGGGAUGCAUCGGCCCUGAAGUACAGGCAACAAAACCCAAACUAGACAAGUGGAUUUAUCAAACUAAAAACCUUCUGCACAACAAAGGAAAAUACCAGAGUGAGAAGUCAGCCUAAAGAAUGGGAGAAAAUACUUGCUAACCAAAGACCUGCUGUCAAAGUAUGCCCUUAUCAAGAAGGAACCAGAAAGGCACUAAAAAAUUCUGCCAAGCUUCUGGAAAACCUGAAGAGGAUCAAGUUAUAGCAUCCAGCCUCAAAGAUAAAAGCCUUCUCAGCAGUGGCAUAGCCCAGCCCUUAUCAGCAUUACCCGACACAGUGAUCAGGUUACCUCACAGACCGCCUGUCUCUUCUCUGAGAAGAGGGGAGCCAGCAGAAGAUGGAAUGCUGAGUCAGAGGAAGACAUGACAAGAUCUGGAGGGUGAAAUUGGCUGUGGAUGGGGUGGGAUGAAUGUGGAAGAUAGGAGCAGGCAGCUUGAUGAAAAACUGGCAGAGUAUCUCACACGACAAUCUCAAGAGAGUAAAUUUAAGCCUUGAUUUAAAAGCAAAAAGAAAUCUAGUUUAAGGCAACUUGAGGUUUGAACUCACGAUAUCGAAACAUAAGAAAAAGAAUCAUCAUCAAUGUCGAUUUCCCCAUAUAAAUUUUAAGAAAAGAAUGACUUAUUCAAGUAUAUGAUUCCUCCCCAAACUAACUGAAUUUGUAGCAAAGCGUUGUGGUCAGCCGCGAAAAACUAUGAUAAAGAGAUGCAGAUAAAAGCUCUAAGUGGGCUGGGAAUGUCUGUCUUAUUCACUGUUGUAUCCCUCCUACCUACGUUGAUGUGGAGCAUAAUAG